GUUUUAAUAAUUUAACAAAAAUAUUGGUCUUGUAAACCAAAAAUGAGAAUAACCUCUUAAGACU
rnacentral:tRNA from 1 species